ensembl:snoRNA Gm25095 small nucleolar RNA SNORA17
GCUGCUCCUAAGGCCUUACAGGUGUGGCUGCUGUGUCACACGUGUUGCACAGUAGGUGGCAGAGAGGAGAGGGGCUAUGUCUACACUCAGUCUUCUGACCAAUAAAUAUCUGAAUGAUUAGUCGCCUAACAUU